rnacentral:rRNA from 1 species
AUUGAACGCUGGCGGCAGGCCUAACACAUGCAAGUCGAGCGCGCGGCGGACGGGUGAGUAAUGUCUGGGAAACUCCCUGAUGUAGGGGGAUAACUACUGGAAACGCUAGCUAAUACCGCAUACCCUCACAGGUGCCCAGAUGUGAUUAGCUAGUAGGUGGGGUAAUGGCUCACCUAGGCGACGAUCCCUAGCUGGUCUGAGAGGAUGACCAGCCACACUGGAACUGAGACACGGUCCAGACUCCUACGGGAGGCAGCAGUGGGGAAUAUUGCACAAUGGGCGCAAGCCUGAUGCAGCCAUGCCGCGUGUGUGAAGAAGGCCUUCGGGUUGUAAAGCACUUUCAGCGGGGAGGCGUUACCCGCAGAAGAAGCACCGGCUAACUCCGUGCCAGCAGCCGCGGUAAUAC